CGGGCGCACGUAAGUUUAGGUAGAAGAUAUCUNUAAGGGUAGAGAGUACACUUAGCGCGCGAAAAUGACCUUCUCACCCUUGGUUAUCACUAUGUUGCUUUGGCGGGUCGACAUGGUUCCGACCCAGGCGGCCGGCGCCCCCAGCCUUAACUGGCCAGGACGCCCGGCUAAGUGCCCGCCAGUAUACAAAACUCAAGAAUUCAUUUUGUGAAGUCCUGAUAUAUCAUUUAAUUGAUUAAAACUUUCAACAACGGAUCUCUUGGUUCUGGCAUCGAUGAAGAACGCAGCGAAAUGCGAUAAGUAAUGUGAAUUGCAGAAUUCAGUGAAUCAUCGAAUCUUUGAACGCACAUUGCGCCCUCUGGUAUUCCGGAGGGCAUGCCUGUUCGAGCGUCAUUUCAACCCUCAAGCUCUGCUUGGUAUUGGGCAACGUCCGCUGCCGGACGUGCCUUGAAGACCUCGGCGACGGCGUCCUAGCCUCGAGCGUAGUAGUAAAAUAUCUCGCUUUGGAGUGCUGGGCGACGGCCGCCGGACAAUCGACCUUCGGUCUAUGUUUCCAAGGUUGACCUCGGAUCAGGUAGGGAUACCCGCUGAACUUAAGC
rnacentral:rRNA from 1 species